rnacentral:tRNA from 1 species
GGCGGGCUGGCGCAAUGGUAGCGCGUCAGUUUUCGGUCCACCGAAUUCAAAUCGCACUGAAGGUUUAGGGGCAAGUUCAAUCCGUCGUCAAACAUCCAUCCUAUGUCAUAUUAACAAACAUCGCAGUUCGAGUCCCUAGUCCGUCG